UCAUAACAAGAGGCUGCGUGUAGCAGGGAAUAAUGAUGCAUGCUGAAAAAAAGAAACCUACUAGGAAUUUUCGCUGACCAGGAUUGUUAAGCAAUUAUUUUUUGUGGGUAACUUGCAUUUUUUUGGACAGGAUUAGAAAAUUGGAUAUUCUUUAUUAACAAUAACUUAACUGUAAUCACUCAGUUUGGAGUUUAGUCAUUAAGGAUCUUUAUCCAUUUUUAAGAGUUUAUUCUAAGGAAACCUAUCAUGAAAAAAAGAGAGAAAAAAAACUUAGGGAACCACAUGUGAGGUUCCCUCAUCACCUAGGAUUCCAUCUAUAUAAGAGAGAACAACUCACUCCUCUUCUCCUUUGACCUUCUGGCAGUGGGUUUUGAGAGGAGAGAGUGGGUAAUUUUUUCUUCUCUUUUCUUGCUCUUGCUAAGUAGGAGUUGUGAGGUGAAGUGAAGUGAAGAGGCUUAGCUCUAGGAUAAGCUCAAGGACCCAAGUCAACCAACACUUAUCUCUUUGCUUCCUUGUAUCAACAAAGAGGGAAAAUUUGGUGCUUAAAGGAAUGAUGAGCUACAAACUUAACCUCGCCACAAGAUGAGUUCUCGCCACAACAAAAAGACUUAACCUCGCCACAAGAUGAGUUCUCGCCACAACAAAAAGAGGACCAGUGAAUAUUUGCCAUGGCGAAGCUACACAUCCCCACAAUGACUAUGAAGGUUGAAGAUCUUGAGUUAAGCAGAAACUCGCCAUAGCUAGUCAAUCUUUCACCCUAGCUAGCAAGGAUUAGAAGCAUGAAGAUUUAAAUGAAGAAGUCCUUUGUAAAUAUUGUAAAUUCGUUGUAACAAAAUGUAUUCUCACUACAACAAAAAUCUUUUAGGGCAGAAAAAAAUUGAAGUUGUUUCAGCUCUCUAUAUAAGAGCUUGCAACAUCAUAUUAAAGGAUUUUUAGUUCAUUUUUU